rnacentral:lncRNA from 1 species
AAUAAACAAGGCUCCUAGGCUUGACCUAGUCCUCGACUCCGACCUGUCAGAGUCAGGCAGCCGCGUAUACCACUCCUGGGGCAGGGCGGUGAGUAUUUGAACUUUAUUUUCUGGUUCCGGUCCAGAGCCACCCAUUUUCCUGCUGCCUUGUAAAUCAGACUUCCCAGGAUCCUGUGGUCGGCGCCUAAGCCUAAGCCUCCAGAUCCGGAGCAAGGAGUCCCUAUCUGCAGCUCUCGAAUUUAUUCCUUUUAUGAAGUUAGUAAAGAAGCAAUUUAUUAUUGUUCAUUCUUUUAUUACUCGGAACAAAAUAUUGAGAUAGCAUGUUUAGUGGCUUAACAAACCUGAGCAUCGAAACCUCUUUUCUUUUUUACUCUUUGUAUUUAUGAUGUUGGCAUGACCCUGGACAACAGCUUCCACAUCUGAAAAAUUGGAAAUAGUAGUGUUAAUUUGUCAUAAAAUUUAUGGAAAAUUGAACUAAGCCAUAGUUAAUAUUAUAACUCUUUGACAGAGGCCUGAAACUAUACCAAGAUGGCAGCCAUAACAAGUGGGAGAAUACAGAUGAAUAAGUCAACUAAAGUUAAGGUUCAGGGAUAAAAGCAAAUUCAUGUAAAUAUACAAAGAAAGGAGAUCUGUUGGGGGGAAUGGUGAUUUCAGGGAUCCUAAAGAACAAAUUCAAGUCUGAUAAAGAUGUAGAGGGUUCCUGGCAGAGGUCACAACUCAAAGGGUCAAUUAUAAAAAUAUCUCAUGUUCUUGAGAAGCUGAGUGGUGGAGCUGGAGAGAUGGUUCUGUGUGCUGCUCUUCGGUGGAUCUGAGCUCCAUUUCCAGUACCCACAUCAGGGGAGUUCACAACCACCUCUAAUUUGAGCUCCAGAAGGAUCUGAUGCCCUCUUCAGAUAUCCUUGGCACCUGCAUACACAUGGAACACACAAGCAUAUACUCAACCCCCAACAGACAACAAAAACGAAUGUCUGUGAAUGCAUAGCCUGCCUGGUCUACAGAGCAAGUUCCAGGAUAGCCAAGGCCUCAAAGGGAAACCCUGUCUCGAAAUUAAUAAUUUAAAAAUACAAUCUUAGCAAAGGAAAUAAGCUGAGGGGCCAGUUAGAUGGCUUAGUAGGUAAAAGGCACUUGCUGCCAAGUCCGAAUGCCCGAGUUCAAUCCAUGGAACCCACAUGGUGAAAGGAGAGAACUGCCUCUCACAAGUUGUCUUGUGAUUUUUUCAUGCACACAUACCCAAAAUAAGUAAAUG